rnacentral:pre_miRNA from 1 species
AUACAUAGUAAUGACGACCGCUAGCUCCUCAGGAGUUGGUAGGUACCUUUCGGUACUCACCGACUCCUAAGAAGCUAGCGGUUCUGCGACGUUGCAGAACU